rnacentral:lncRNA from 1 species
UGGGCAUCACUGAGGGCUACUUAAAAGUUUGUCUACUACACAGAGAAAAUGGCAGGACUUAAAAAAUUACAUUGUGUUCUCUGUGCUAUAGGCAACAGACUUCAGGUACAUAAUAGAAAAGUUAGUUUUUCUUUUUUUUGAGCCAUGUGGAGUGGUUACUGGAGAGAAAUUCAGUCAGUUUUCAUCAAUAGGUCCACUGGGAUUGCAUCUGGCUCACGAAGUGUAAACCCCAUGUACUGUAAAGAGAAGAUCAAGGGCAGCGUUGGCACUAAGUGGUUGUUCAAAAGGUUCCAACUGUUCUACGUUUUCAAAAACAGAAUGUCCAGGCUUUCAUUGUACUCUACAGAGCAUUGGGGGAGAGGAAAAUUGAAGGUGGCAGAAAGGGCUCAAGUGGCCUCUAUAAGAAAGAUAAUUUGGAGAUCUGGUGAACGGAAAGCAAGAAUAUGGGUGGUUGGAAGAAGUUGUAGCCCAGUUACCAGGAGGGCCUACCAGAUAUCAAGACUUAUUAUAAAGCCAGAGUAAUUGCAAUGGUGUGGUUUUGGUGCAGAGAAAGACACACUGAUCAACGCAACAGCAUAGAGGGCCCAGCAAUAUCUCACACACAUGAGGCAAUCUGAUACAAGGAAGAGGUGGCAUUGCAGAUGACUAAGGAGGUGAGUGAGUGAGUGUGUCUCUCAUUAAAUAUGUUGAUUGAGAUAAUGGGCUAUCCACAUGGGAAAAAAAA